CCCAGUGAACUGCAUGGUUCACUGGUAAAAGGCGGUUUCGGCCGUCACUCAUGGAUGGGCCCGCGGCGCAUUAGCUAGUUGGUAAGGUAACGGCUUACCAAGGCAACGAUGCGUAGCCGACCUGAGAGGGUGAUCGGCCACACUGGGACUGAGACACGGCCCAGACUCCUACGGGAGGCAGCAGUAGGGAAUCUUCCGCAAUGGACGAAAGUCUGACGGAGCAACGCCGCGUGAACGAUGAAGGUCUUCGGAUCGUAAAGUUCUGUUGUUAGGGAAGAACAAGUACCAGAGGAAAUGCUGGUACCUUGACGGUACCUAACCAGAAAGCCACGGCUAACUACGUGCCAGCAGCCGCGGUAAUACGUAGGUGGCAAGCGUUGUCCGGAAUUAUUGGGCGUAAAGCGCGCGCAGGCGGUUUCUUAAGUCUGAUGUGAAAGCCCACAGCUCAACUGUGGAGGGCCAUUGGAAACUGGGGAACUUGAGUACAGAAGAGGAGAGUGGAAUUCCACGUGUAGCGGUGAAAUGCGUAGAUAUGUGGAGGAACACCAGUGGCGAAGGCGACUCUCUGGUCUGUAACUGACGCUGAGGCGCGAAAGCGUGGGUAGCAAACAG
rnacentral:rRNA from 1 species